UUUCUACUCCCUCCGUUUCGAAUUACUUGUCGCAGGUAUGGAUGUAUCUAGAUGUAUUUUAGUUCUAGAUACAUCCAUUUCUGUGACGAGUAAUUUGAAACAGAGGAAGUAUAUG
rnacentral:pre_miRNA from 1 species